rnacentral:rRNA from 1 species
UUAGUUAAGUGAAUAAGGGCGCACGGUGGAUGCCUUGGCACUAGGAGCCGAAGAAGGACGGGACUAACACCGAUAUGUCCUGGGGAGUCGUAAGUAGACAUCGAUCCAGGAAUUUCCGAAUGGGGGAACCCGCUGCUCGUAAUGGAGCAGUACUUCUAUCUGAAUUCAUAGGGUAGAAGAGGCAUACCCGGGGAACUGAAACAUCUCAGUACCCGGAGGAAGAGAAAGCAAACGCGAUUUCCCAAGUAGCGGCGAGCGAAACGGAAUUAGCCCAAACCAGAAGGCUUGCCUUCUGGGGUUGUAGGACACUCCAUUGGAGUUAUCAAGAGAUUCUUUAGAUGAAGCGAUCUGGAAAGGUCGGCCAAAGAAGGUAACAGCCCUGUAAUCGAAAAAGAAUCUCCUCCGGAGUGGAUCCUGAGUACGGCGGAACACGAGGAAUUCCGUCGGAAUCCGGGAGGACCAUCUCCCAAGGCUAAAUACUCCCUAGUGACCGAUAGUGAACCAGUACCGUGAGGGAAAGGUGAAAAGCACCCCGGAAGGGGAGUGAAAUAGAACCUGAAACCGUGUGCCUACAAGUAGUCGAAGCCCGUUAAUGGGUGACGGCGUACCUUUUGUAGAAUGGACCGGCGAGUUACGAUCGUAUGCAAGGUUAAGUGGAAGACACGGAGCCGUAGCGAAAGCGAGUCUGAAUAGGGCGAAUAUAGUAUGCGGUCGUAGACCCGAAACCGUGUGAUCUACCCAUGUCCAGGGUGAAGGUCAGGUAACACUGACUGGAGGCCCGAACCCACGUAUGUUGAAAAAUGCGGGGAUGAGGUGUGGGUAGGGGUGAAAUGCCAAUCGAACACGGAGAUAGCUGGUUCUCUCCGAAAUAGCUUUAGGGCUAGCCUCAAGGAAAGAGUACUGGAGGUAGAGCACUGAUUGAACUAGGGGCCCUCAUCGGGUUACCGAAUUCAGUCAAACUCCGAAUGCCAGCUACUUAUCCUUGGGAGUCAGACUAUGGGUGAUAAGGUUCAUAGUCGAAAGGGAAACAGCCCAGACCGCCAGCUAAGGUCCCAAAGUAUACGUUAAGUGGAAAAGGAUGUGGAGUUGCCCAGACAACCAGGAUGUUGGCUUAGAAGCAGCCACCAUUUAAAGAGUGCGUAAUAGCUCACUGGUCGAGUGACUCUGCGCCGAAAAUGUACCGGGGCUAAACGUAUCACCGAAGCUGCGGAUUGUUCUUACGAACAAUGGUAGGAGAGCGUUCUAAGUGCUGUGAAGUCAGAUCGUGAGGACUGGUGGAGCGCUUAGAAGUGAGAAUGCCGGUAUGAGUAGCGAAAAAAGAGUGAGAAUCUCUUUCACCGAAUGCCUAAGGUUUCCUGAGGAAGGCUCGUCCUCUCAGGGUUAGUCGGGACCUAAGCCGAGGCCGAAAGGCGUAGGCGAUGGACAACAGGUAGAUAUUCCUGUACCACCUCAUGAACGUUUGA